GGGCAUGCGCAGAGACCUCCCCUUCCCAAGGCCCGUGAGGAGUGGGCGGGGAUUCUGGAGGAGAGGGUAGGAAGACAGAAGAGGAACUCCAGGGCUAAGGGUCUCACUGUGAGCUCUCUAUGUCCAUUCCCAGAAACGGCAGCUUCCUUCUCUAGUCCACUCGUUACAUCAGAUACUAAACAUUUAUGGUGCAUGUAUGUUACAGACUACACAGCAGUGUGCCAGAGGAGUAGACAUUUUGCCUUUCAUUUUGGAAUUCCCAUUGGACUGAUGAGAGGAAUAAAUAAAUAAGAGAUCAUUCUACAUUUGAAAGAGCAAACAUUAAUUACACUCUUCGUGAUAGAGGGAAGGAAAAUGGCUUGCAGUGCUAAUGAAAGCUUAGUUGAGAAAUGGAAACACAGGCAUAGAAGUCAGAAGGCAAACUUACCUGUUGGGGAAGAUAAACAAAGGGCAAAGCCUUGAAGUAGUCUGUGAAUUCCUGAAUGCUCAGAGGCAAGAAUACCCUGACUGCUGUUUGGAGGGUUAAGAAAACAGCAGCUGGAAAUACAGUUGAAACUCAUCUGGAAAUAAUCUUUAAUGUUUUCCCCAAGAUUCCAACUCUAGUGAAUAAAUGGGAAAUUCUUGAAAUGGGAGAAAGGAAUCCUGCCUUGGCCUUUUGAGGAUUUUAUCCCAUUGACAAAUGUGACUGAAGCAAUAUUUUAACAAGGUGACAUCAGGCUUGGUGACACAUGCCUAUAAUCCCACCACUUGGGAGGCUGAGAAAAGAUGACCCAGUGAAGCCUUGAUUACAUAGAAGACCCCAUAUCAAAAAGUGAAAAACUAGAUCCUCUAAAAGCAAAACAAAUAAAACACUCUAAAGCAACAA